CAGCCGCCACGGUAAUACGUAGGGUGCGAGCGUUAAUCGGAAUUACUGGGCGUAAAGCGUGCGCAGGCGGUUCGUUAAGACAGAUGUGAAAUCCCCGGGCUUAACCUGGGAACUGCAUUUGUGACUGGCGAGCUAGAGUAUGGCAGAGGGGGGUAGAAUUCCACGUGUAGCAGUGAAAUGCGUAGAGAUGUGGAGGAAUACCGAUGGCGAAGGCAGCCCCCUGGGCCAAUACUGACGCUCAUGCACGAAAGCGUGGGGAGCAAACAGGAUUAGAUACCCGGGUAGUCCCUGUCUCUUAUAC
rnacentral:rRNA from 1 species